rnacentral:rRNA from 1 species
CCAGCCUGNCNAGAGANCAUGUUCACCGGNCGCGGCAUCCGNANCGUGCGAAGGUAGCGUAAUCACUUGUUCUUUAAAUGUGGACUAGUAUGAAUGGCACCACGAAGGUUAUACUGUCUCCUUUUCCUAAUCAGNGAAACUAAUCUCCUCGUGAAGAAGCGAGGAUAAAGCUAUAAGACGAGAAGACCCUAUGGAGCUUUAAACAAUAUAGCAUUUGCCAUACAACAUUAAAAUUUCUGAAUAUUUAAACUUAUGCGGGCAACUUGACUGUAAGUUUUUGGUUGGGGUGACCGCGGAGCAUAACACAACCUCCAUAUUGAAUGAAUUUCUUCUAAGCUAAGACUUUCCGGUCUAAUCAUCAAGAUAUUGANAUCCAUUGANCCAAUACAAUNGNNCAUCGAACCAAGUUACCCUAGGGAUAACAGCGCAAUCCACUUCAAGAGCUCCUAUCGNCAAGUGGGUUNGCGACCUCGAUGCUCCAUCUGGGUAUCCNANUGNUGCAUCCGCUGAUAUAGGUUCCCNCCNCNCU